GACGAACGCUGGCGGCGUGCUUAACACAUGCAAGUCGAACGGAAAGGCCCUGCUUUUGUGGGGUGCUCGAGUGGCGAACGGGUGAGUAACACGUGAGUAACCUGCCCUUGACUUUGGGAUAACUUCAGGAAACUGGGGCUAAUACCGGAUAGGAGCUCCUGCUGCAUGGUGGGGGUUGGAAAGUUUCGGCGGUUGGUGAUGGACUCGCGGCUUAUCAGCUUGUUGGUGGGGUAGUGGCUUACCAAGGCUUUGACGGGUAGCCGGCCUGAGAGGGUGACCGGCCACAUUGGGACUGAGAGACGGCCCAGACGCCUACGGGAGGCAGCAGUGGGGAAUAUUGCACAAUGGGCGGAAGCCUGAUGCAGCAACGCCGCGUGCGGGAUGACGGCCUUCGGGUUGUAAACCGCUUUCGCCUGUGACGAAGCGUGAGUGACGGUAAUGGGUAAAGAAGCACCGGCUAACUACGUG
rnacentral:rRNA from 1 species